GCCUGGUUGGCUCAGUCAGUUAAGCAUCUGACUUUGGCUCAGGUCAUGAUCUCAUGGUUUGUGGGUUCAAGGCCCGCAUGGGGCU
rnacentral:tRNA from 1 species